rnacentral:rRNA from 1 species
CCUACGGGAGGCAGCAGUGAGGAAUAUUGGUCAAUGGACGAGAGUCUGAACCAGCCAAGUAGCGUGAAGGAUGACUGCCCUAUGGGUUGUAAACUUCUUUUAUAAAGGAAUAAAACGAGGCACGUGUGCCUUUUUGCAUGUACUUUAUGAAUAAGGAUCGGCUAACUCCGUGCCAGCAGCCGCGGUAAUACGGAGGAUCCGAGCGUUAUCCGGAUUUAUUGGGUUUAAAGGGAGCGUAGAUGGGUUGUUAAGUCAGUUGUGAAAGUUUGCGGCUCAACCGUAAAAUUGCAAUUGAUACUGGCAGUCGUGAGUACAGUUGAGGUAAGCGGAAUUCGUGGUGUAGCGGUGAAAUGCGUAGAUAUCACGAAGAACCCCGAUUGCGAAGGCAGCUUACUAAACUGUGACUGACAUUGAUGCUCGAAAGUGUGGGUAUCAAACAGGAUUAGAUACCCGGGUAGUC